UGCGUAGGUGGCGCCGUAAGUCAGGUGUGAAAUUUCGGAGCUUAACUCCGAAACUGCAUUUGAUACUGCGGUGCUUGAGGACUGGAGAGGAGACUGGAAUUCACGGUGUAGCAGUGAAAUGCGUAGAUAUCGUGAGGAAGACCAGUGGCGAAGGCGGGUCUCUGGACAGUUCCUGACACUGAGGCACCGAAGGGGCCCAGGGGGAAGGCAAACG
rnacentral:rRNA from 1 species